CACCCCGUAAACGUUGGGAACUAGUUGUGGGGUCCAUUCCACGGAUUCCGUGACGCAGCUAACGCAUUAAGUUCCCCGCCUGGGGAGUACGGCCGCAAGGCUAAAACUCAAAGGAAUUGACGGGGACCCGCACAAGCGGCGGAGCAUGCGGAUUAAUUCGAUGCAACGCGAAGAACCUUACCAAGGCUUGACAUAUACGAGAACGGGCCAGAAAUGGUCAACUCUUUGGACACUCGUAAACAGGUGGUGCAUGGUUGUCGUCAGCUCGUGUCGUGAGAUGUUGGGUUAAGUCCCGCAACGAGCGCAACCCUCGUUCUAUGUUGCCAGCACGUAAUGGUGGGAACUCAUGGGAUACUGCCGGGGUCAACUCGGAGGAAGGUGGGGAUGACGUCAAAUCAUCAUGCCCCUUAUGUCUUGGGCUUCACGCAUGCUACAAUGGCCGGUACAAAGGGCUGCAAUACCGCGAGGUGGAGCGAAUCCCAAAAAGCCGGUCCCAGUUCGGAUUGAGGUCUGCAACUCGACCUCAUGAAGUCGGAGUCGCUAGUAAUCGCAGAUCAGCAACGCUGCGGUGAAUACGUUCCCGGGUCUUGUACACACCGCCCGUCAAGUCAUGAAAGUCGGUAACACCUGAAGCCGGUGGCCUAACC
rnacentral:rRNA from 1 species